rnacentral:rRNA from 1 species
UGCAGUCGAACGAUGAUCAGGAGCUUGCUCCUGUGAUUAGUGGCGAACGGGUGAGUAACACGUGAGUAACCUGCCCCUGACUCUGGGAUAAGCGUUGGAAACGACGUCUAAUACUGGAUACGACUGCCGGCCGCAUGGUCUGGUGGUGGAAAGAUUUUUUGGUUGGGGAUGGACUCGCGGCCUAUCAGCUUGUUGGUGAGGUAAUGGCUCACCAAGGCGACGACGGGUAGCCGGCCUGAGAGGGUGACCGGCCACACUGGGACUGAGACACGGCCCAGACUCCUACGGGAGGCAGCAGUGGGGAAUAUUGCACAAUGGGCGAAAGCCUGAUGCAACAACGCCGCGUGAGGGAUGACGGCCUUCGGGUUGUAAACCUCUUUUAGUAGGGAAAAAACGAAAGUGACCGUACCUGC